CUGCCAUGUUAACUAACGCUAGUGCUGCAGUGCCGCUGUGUUUACAUUAAAAGGCCUGCAGGGACAGGCUAUAGACACCAGGACCACUACAUUAAGGUGCAGUGGUUCUGGGGACUAUAGUGUUUCUUUAAUGUGAGGUAAAUUAGAGAUUAGUGCUACGAAUAAUAUACUAGAUUACCUACUUACAAGCAGAUGAGGAUGAUGAUGGGCUCUAGCUGCAGUCUGGCUCCACUGGUCUGGUGUAUAACAGGAUCUCUGGAGGCUGUUUGUAACUGUGGUCACACAAAUCAAUGUUCUGGGAGAACGAGAAGCAGCUCCAUUUUUGGGGGGCCCUUUACACAGCUCAAGGUCUGGGUCCCAGGGUCCACCUUCAUUUUCCACCAAUGAGUUUGUUCACAGGGGAUGGAGUGUGUAGGGAAUGUCCUGAUUUGUGUGUAAGGAAUGCAUUGUGUGAAUCUGUGUUUGUAUGUGUAAGGGCUGCAAGGUGUGUUUCUGUGUAUGUAAGGGAUGAAGAGUGUGAGUCUGUAAGGGGUGCAUUGAGUGUGUGUAAGGAAUGCAUUGUGUGUUUCUGUGUGUGCAAGGGAUGCAUUGUGUGUAAGGGUUGCAUUGCGUGUGUGUGUGUAUGUAAUGCAUUGUGUGUGUAAUGCAUUGUGUGUUUUUCUGUGUACAAGGGGUUCAUUGUCUUUGUGUGUAAGGGGUGCAUU